UUAUCUGGGGGCGGUAUGUCUGUCAAACUGUAAACCCAGGUGUCCGAAAGCGAGCUCAGCGUGGACGGAAACCACAAGUCGAGCAGAAAGGGCAAAAUACUCGCUCGAUCUUGAUUUUUCAGUACGAAUAACGGACCGCAAAAAUGUGGCCCUUACAUCCUUGUGAUUGAACUAAG
rnacentral:rRNA from 1 species